GGUAUAUAUAACUUUUAAAUUAUGUCAAUUUUUCUGUUUGCCAACUAGUAUGUAAGUUCCACCAGGGCAAUGAUUUUUUAUCUGUUCUCUGGUUAUCUUAAGUAAUUAGAAUAGCACCCAGCCCAUAGCUGGAACUUAUGAGGAAAUGAGGAAAUGAGGAAACGAGCUUCAGAUAAUUUAAAUAACUUCCCGAGACUAAGUUUCAUAGUUAGUUGGUGGAGCUAGAAUGGAAUCCCUGAAGAGUGGCUCAAAGGCCUUUCUCUUUACCACGGCCUGUGCUGCCUUGCUAUAGUGAUGUCAUGAAGUUAGUCCAUCCUGAGGUCUAACCCCUUUUGAUGGUGUGGAACUCACAUGGGGAAGGUGGACAUUUGCCCACCUGGGCCUUCAACUCUCCUUCACUUGGAGCUGGCCUCUCCCCAUCAUGCCAGCUUCCCUGUGUCUGAAUGGGUGUGUAUGUGUGUGUGAAUGAGGUAUGUGUGUGUGUGAAUGGGGUGUGGUGUGUAUGAAUGGAGUAUGUGUGUGUGAAUGGGGUGUGUGUGUGAAUGGGGUGCGUGUAUGUGAAUGGGGUGCGUGUGUGAAUGAGAUGUGUGUGUGAAUGGGGUUUGUGUGUGAAUGGGGUGUGUGUGUGAACCGGGUGUGUGUGUGUGGUUGAUGAGUAUCCGUGUGAGAACACGGGAGUUGGGGCUGCUCAUUCUCUUUGCCUCCUUGCCCAGCCACCUAGGUCUUGGACUCCUGUCCUAGCUCUCAGCCCAUUAGAGGCUGCUGCCUCUGGAGUAGACUCAGGGUCUGACCUCGCACUCCAUGCCUAGGAUUUCAGUCUGGGGGCCCAGUUCCCAUCUGCCAUUCCGGGCUUGGCCAUCAGCCUCUUCCCAGAGGUCCAGGUUGGGUGGAUUCGGCAGGAGUAUGGGGAAGGAAGGAAGAGCUUAGCUUCCUUCCCUGUGGGGACCCUGUGAGGCAUAGCAGACUGGGCUGGGCCUGGCUCCUGGGCUCCAGCCUCCAGCCUCCACUCACACCCUCCUCUUCCUCAGGAUCAUCUUCUCCACACCCCUGGCCGUCAUUGCCUACUUCCUUAUCUGGUUCGUGCCUGACUUCCCAGACGGCCAGACCUAUUGGUACCUGCUUUUCUAUUGCCUCUUUGAGACGAUGGUCACGUGUUUCCAUGUUCCCUACUCGGCUCUCACCAUGUUCAUCAGCACCGAGCAGACUGAGCGGGAUUCUGCCACCGCCUAUCGGAUGACUGUGGAAGUGCUGGGCACAGUGCUGGGUACGGCGAUCCAGGGGCAAAUCGUGGGCCAAGCAGACACGCCUUGUUUCCAGGACCUCAAUAGCUCUACAGUAGCUUCACAAAGUGCCAACCAUACACAUGGCACCACCUCACACAGGGAAACGCAAAAGGCAUACCUGCUGGCAGCGGGGGUCAUUGUCUGUAUCUAUAUAAUCUGUGCUGUCAUCCUGAUCCUGGGCGUGCGGGAGCAGAGAGCUCUCGGCCACUUUCACCAUUCCCAUCUGGCAGUGGUUCUUGACCCGGUUUGGCAAGAAGACAGCUGUAUAUGUUGGGAUCUCAUCAGCAGUGCCAUUUCUCAUCUUGGUGGCCCUCAUGGAGAGUAACCUCAUCAUUACAUAUGUGGUAGCUGUGGCAGCUGGCAUCAGUGUGGCAGCUGCCUUCUUACUACCCUGGUCCAUGUUGCCUGAUGUCAUUGACGACUUCCAUCUGAAGCAGCCCCACUUCCAUGGAACCGAGCCCAUCUUCUUCUCCUUCUAUGUCUUCUUCACCAAGUUUGCCUCUGGAGUGUCACUGGGCAUUUCCACCCUCAGUCUGGACUUUGCAGGGUACCAGACCCGCGGCUGCUCGCAGCCGGAACGUGUCAAGUUUACACUGAACAUGCUCGUGACCAUGGCUCCCAUAGUUCUCAUCCUGCUGGGCCUACUGCUCUUCAAAAUGUACCCCAUUGAUGAGGAGAGGCGGCGGCAGAAUAAGAAGGCCCUGCAGGCACUGAGGGAUGAGGCCAGCAGCUCUGGCUGCUCAGAAACAGACUCCACAGAGCUGGCUAGCAUCCUCUAGGGCCCGCCACGUUGCCCGAAGCCACCACGCAGAAGGCCGCGGGAGGGAUCAGGACCUGUCUGCCGGCUUGCUGAUCAGCUGGACUGCAGGUGCUAGGAAGGGAACUGAAGACUCAAGGAGGUGGCCCAGGACACUUGCUGUGCUCACUGUGGGGCCGGCUGCUCUGUGGCCUCCUGCCUCCCCUCUGCCUGCCUGUGGGGCCAAGCCCUGGGGCUGCCACUGUGAAUAUGCCAAGGACUGAUCGGGCCUAGCCCGGAACACUAAUGUAGAAACCUUUUUUUACAGAGCCUAAUUAAUAACUUAAUGACUGUGUACAUAGCAAUGUGUGUGUAUGUAUAUGUCUGUGAGCUAUUAAUGUUAUUAAUUUUCAUAAAAGCUGGAAAACAGCUGCCUGUU
rnacentral:sRNA from 1 species